AUUCACACAGUGGCUGCCACUACUAUUGACAGCCCAUAUUUUCUAGAUGAUCUCUAGGACAAGUUUGAACAUGGGCCAUUCCGGGCCUAAAACUAGGUCACCGGGUCACUUUGUGCAUUUUUUAACAUUCAGCAUGGUGUCCGCUCUCUUAUUCAUGUAGUUUACAUCCGAUCUUCACCAAACUUGGUCAGAAGUUUUAUGGAGAUGAUCUUAAGGCCAAGUUAGAACAUGCGCCUUUCUGGGUCAAAAACUAGGUCAAAGGGUCACUUAGUGCGUUUUAAAAAUUUAGCAUGGUGUCUGCUGUUUUUUGUGAAGACGACAUGCAAAAUAUUAUGUGUCAAUGCGGCAUGUGGGGGUAUUCGUGACGUCUAAGACAAAGCUCUAGUUUGCUUAUUUCACUAAGUUUAAUUAUUAUUUUGAACACACAUGUAUUGUUUCAUAUUAAAUGCCAUACAGUUGUAUUGUCUCACAUUUAAAGUUGUUAAGUCUCAGGAAUAAGUCAUAAACUGUCACAUUAAAAGGUGUGCAGACUCACACUUAAAUAUGUAGAUUGUAACAUUUAAAGUUGUGUUGUCUCACAUUUUAAGUUGCUGAGUAUCACAUUUAAAAUUAUGUAGUCUCAAAUUUAAAGUUCUAUAGUCACACAAUUAAAGGUGUACAGUCUCACAUUCUAAAUUGCUCAAGUAAUGCGUGGUUUUGAUUUACAAAAAAUAAAUAUAACACUUUGCUACAAACCCAAAAAUUCCAAUUUAAAGCUGGUGCCCGUAAAACAUUGAUACUUUGUUAUUCUGAGUUCUAAUUGGUAAAAAAUUUAUUGCAAUAUUCUAAAUAUCAAUUAUAGGCACAAUGUUUGGCAUUAAAAAAAACAGGUCUGUAAAGUAAGGUGUUGCAAGGCUUAUUCAUGUGUCACUAAACAAUCCGGUUUAAGUUUACUUUCCAUUUCCUUUUCAGUGAACUUUACUAGCAAACAUGACAAACGUCAUUGAAGUGAAAGUCAAUGACAACCCCCUUCUUGCACAAAUACUACAACUUGCUAAAGAAAUUCAGCAUGAAGACGUCUUGUGUCAGACUACCAAGCCUCCUAUCAAUAUCUCGUCCCAUGUUGGCUACAUCAACACUUCCAACAGCAGAGCCUAGGUGAAUUCGACUUCCGUCUCAGCAUUGAUGUGGCUUAGCAACAAUUGGAUGAUUGCGUCGACAAAUUAGGCCGGACAAGUUGCUCGAACUGAAACGAUCUGAUUCAACAGGUAGAGCAGGCGUUGCCUGACACGUCCGUUAAUGUGACUGACCUCGAUAUGGUGUUCUCGAAAAAUGUGAACCUUAGGCCUGGAGAGCAGUAUGCGAUUGACGCCAUUCAACAACAGUUGUUGUCGGCAAUUCUCGGGUUUGGGGUGGCGACUUCGGCGUUGGGACUCACUCCAUCUCUGUCUAUGGCCCAGUCGCAGCAGCAGCAGCAACAAGAACAAUAAGAAGUAUCUUAGCGGUGUUCUGCAAUAUGGGGCUUAAAUUGUCAUCCCAGAUUAGCCUAUGCAGACUGCAUAUAAUUAAGUCCUAUUAAAUUGUCAUUCCAGAUUAGCCUGUGCAGACUGCACAUACAUUAAGUCCUAUUAAAGUGUCAUCCCAGAUUGUGCAGACUGCACAUACAUUAAGUCCUAUUAAAGUGUCAUCCCAGAUAAGCCUGUGCAGACUGCACAUACAUUAAGUCCUAUUAAAGUGUCAUCCCAGAUAAGCCUGUGCAGACUGCACCUACAUUAAGUCCUAUUAAAGUGUCAUCCCAGAUUAGCCUGUGCAGACAGCACAUACAUUAAGUCCUAUUAAAGUGUCACCCCAGAUAAGCCUGUGCAGACUUCACAUACAUUAAGUCCUAUUUUUUCCCAGAAUGCACUCAUAUAGUUCACUUAACAUCAGUCCGUUGUCUGCCUGAUUGAGGAAAAGUUCAUAGCAUCAAAUAGGAAUUCUGUGUUUUUAUAUUGAUCAAACUUGGUAAAUGAAUGCGAAUAACACUUGAUUUAAUAUAAGUUUUAGAAUGUCAAGCAUAGUUUGUCUAUUUUGCGGCCGAAAUUCAGCUCCUGUACCAAAAGUUUCUCCUUGCAUGAAAACUCCCGCUUUUCUAUUCAAUUUUAGUAAAACAAUUAUUUAAAUGCUUUCAGUACAUUAUAAAAUUAUUGUCUUCAUUAUUUUCCGAUAUUUAUUUAAAUUCUUUGGAAUCUGUUUUAAGAGCCGGUUCCUACAGGACCAGACGCACUCAUAGAUUGGUACGCAGCUGAACAACAGGCUCUCUGGUCAGCUGGACCCGAACACCCAGGGAUUUUUUCUGGCCAAGUUUCAUGGGGCAAAUGCCCAAUGAGUUCUACCCGAGGGUGCAGCGUCUCUAGACCUGGGGCUCCAGACUGCCUUACUCAGGGGCCAAGAUUACUUUAUCUGCAAGAGGCCUUAUACUCACAGGUUCCCCAAAUACAACUCAGCCACAACAUCCUAAUCGGACAACUUGUCAAUCAACAUGGAACAGUACCCUGAAAAUCACGACCAUCUAAAGAACUGUGCAACUGUGCCAAGCGUGACCCUUUAGAGAAAGGGGCUUCCAUGCCGAAGGUCAAAUUGUGGCCGUUGUUCAGUGUCAAGCGGAAUCCUAGCAACCAAGCCACGUCAGCACAGCAGCAAAAACAGUUUCAGCAGCAGUCGUAUACUAAACAUCAACAACAGUGGUGCAUAUGCAUUAAACUAGGAGAGUAAACAAGUUGACUGCGUAAUGUGGCAUCAAAGUCUGCAAGGAGAAACCAUGCAAUUGAGGAAGCCAAGAAACCAUGUGAUAAUUUCAAGCAGCUUACAUACUCUUGAAACCCGGAUAGCAAAGCAUUGAGUUUGUUCUGGAAGCAUUUGUAGUCACAGCUCAUUAAGCAUCCCCCUGAAGCAGGACCCUCAGUCUAGGGACGCCAAUUGACGAAAUAAAACUUGUCAUUCAGCAACACAGCCAGUUGCAGCAGUUGUUACCAUAUUGACCCCAGUCAAAACUAGGAGCUCAGAGAUAACACAGCCAGUUGCAGCAGUUGUUACCGUAUGGACCCCAGUCAAAACUAGGAGCUCAGAGACAAUCAGCAACACAGCCAGUUGCAGCAGUUGUUACCGUAUGGACCCCAGUCAAAACAAGGAGCUCAGAGAUAAAUACUGUUUAAGAUAGAUAUUCUCUACAUUCCUCAUGGUCAGCCAACACAGCCAGUUGCAGCAGUUGUUAGCAUAUUGACCCCAGUCAAAACUAGGAGCUCAGAGACAAUCAGCAACACAGCCAGUUGCAGCAGUUGUUACCGUAUGACCCCAGUCAAAACUAGGAGCUCAGAGAUAAAUACUGUUUAAGAUAGAUAUUCUCUACAUUCCUCAUGGUCAGGCAACACAGCCAGUUGCAGCAGUUGUUACCAUCUUGACCCCAGUCAAAACUAAGAGCUCAGAGACAAUCAGCAACACAGCCAGUUGCAGCAGUUGUUACCGUAUGACCCCAGUCAAAACUAGGAGCUCAGAGAUAAAU